UACGAAGGGGGCUAGCGUUGUUCGGAAUCACUGGGCGUAAAGCGCACGUAGGCGGCUCCUUAAGUCAGGGGUGAAAUCCCGAGGCUCAACCUCGGAACUGCCUUUGAUACUGGGAAUCUUGAGUCCGGGAGAGGUGAGUGGAAUUGCGAGUGUAGAGGUGAAAUUCGUAGAUAUUCGCAAGAACACCAGUGGCGAAGGCGGCUCACUGGCCCGGUACUGACGCUGAGGUGCGAAAGCGUGGGGAGCAAACAGG
rnacentral:rRNA from 1 species